GACAGAGGUGCCAAGCGUUAGGCGGAAUCACUGGGCUUAAAGCGUGUGUAGGCGGGCGAUCAGGGACCUUGUGAAAUCCCACGGCUCAACCGUGGAACUGCUGGGUAUACUGGUUGUCUUGAGCCAGCUAGGGGCGAGCGGAACAGACGGUGGAGCGGUGAAAUGCGUAGAUAUCGUCUGGAACGCCGAAGGUGAAAACAGCUCGCUGGGGCUGCGCUGGCGCUGAGACACGAAAGCCAGGGGAGCGAACGGG
rnacentral:rRNA from 1 species